GACGAACGCUGGCGGCGUGCUUAACACAUGCAAGUCGAACGGAAAGGCCCUGCUUUUGUGGGGUGCUCGAGUGGCGAACGGGUGAGUAACACGUGAGUAACCUGCCCUUGACUUUGGGAUAACUUCAGGAAACUGGGGCUAAUACCGGAUAGGCGCUCCUGCUGCAUGGUGGGGGUUGGAAAGUUUCGGCGGUUGGGGAUGGACUCGCGGCUAAUCAGCUUGUUGGUGGGGUAGUGGCUUACCAAGGCUUUGACGGGUAGCCGGCCUGAGAGGGUGACCGGCCACAUAGGGACUGAGAUACGGCCCAGACUCCUACGGUAGGCAGCAGUGGGGAAUAUUGCACAAUGAGAGGAAGCCAGAUGCAGCAACGCCGCGUGCGGGAUGACGGCCUGCGGGUUGGAAACCGCUUGCGCCUGGGACGAAGCGUGAGUGACGGUAAUGGGUAAAGAAGCACCGGCUAACUACGUG
rnacentral:rRNA from 1 species